rnacentral:rRNA from 1 species
AGGGCAGACGGUGGAUGCCUUGGCUCUCGGAGGCGAUGAAGGACGUGAUAAGCUGCGAUAAGCUUGGGGUAGGUGCAAAUAACCUUUGAUCCCAAGAUUUCCGAAUGGGGCAACCCGGCUGGUAGAAGGCCAGUCAUUCCGUAAGGAAGGCGAACGUGGGGAACUGAAACAUCUAAGUACCCAUAGGAGAAGAAAACAAAAGUGAUUCCGCAAGUAGUGGCGAGCGAACGCGGAACAGCCCAAACCGAUGAUGUUUAGGCAUUGUCGGGGUAGUAGGACCACGUUGUGGCAAGAGAUUAAGGAAGUAGAACGUUUUGGAACAAACGGCCGUAGACGGUGAAAGCCCAGUAUACGACUCUUUAACGAAGCCUAGUGGAAUCCUGAGUAGCGCGGAGCACGAGAAAUUCUGUGUGAAUCAGCGGGGCCCAUCCCGUAAGGCUAAAUACUCCCGAGAGACCGAUAGCGAACCAGUACUGUGAAGGAAAGGUGAAAAGCACCUCGAACAGAGGAGUGAAAUAGUCCCUGAAACCGUCUGCCUACAAGCGGUCGGAGCAACGUAAGUUGUGACGGCGUGCCUUUUGCAUAAUGAACCUACGAGUUACUUUCUCCGGCAAGGUUAAGGGCUUCAGGCCCGGAGCCGAAGCGAAAGCGAGUCUUAAUAGGGCGUGAUAGUCGGAGUGAGUAGACGCGAAACCAAGUGAUCUACCCUUGGUCAGGAUGAAGGUUGGGUAACACCAACUGGAGGUCCGAAUGGGUAUACGUUGAAAAGUGUUCCAAUGAACUGAGGGUAGGGGUGAAAGGCUAAUCAAACUUGGAGAUAGCUCGUACUCCCCGAAAUGCAUUUAGGUGCAGCCUUUAUUUAGUAUAGCAUGAGGUAGAGCGACUGAUUGGAUGCGAGGGCUUCACCGCCUAUCAAGUCCAGAUAAACUCCGAAUGCGUGCUAUAUAUUGAUAAGGAGUGAGGGCGCGGGUGCUAAGGUCCGCGUCCGAGAGGAGAAGAAUCCAGACCAUCAGCUAAGGUCCCCAAAUAACAGUUAAGUUGAACUAACGAAGUCGGACUGCAGAGACAGCUAGGAUGUUGGCUUGGAAGCAGCCAUUCAUUUAAAGAGUGCGUAACAGCUCACUAGUCGAGGAGUCCGGCGUGGAUAAUACUCGGGCAUAAACUGUUUACCGAAGCUAUGGAUGUAGAAAUACAUGGUAGGGGAGCAUUCCAACGGCGUCGAAGGUGAAGGAUGACCUUUGCUGGAGCUUUUGGAAACGCAAAUGUAGGUAUAAGUAACGAUAAAGGAGGUGAGAAACCUCCUCGCCGAAAGACUAAGGUUUCCUGAUCAACGUUAAUCGGAUCAGGGUAAGUCGGGACCUAAGGUUAAGCCGAACGGCGAUACCGAUGGAAGAAUGGUUUAAUAUUCCCAUACUACUUUAUGGAGCGAUGUGGAGACGGAGAAGUGAAAGUCCUGCCAUCUGACGGAAUAGGUGGUUGAAGAGUGUAGAUGUAGAUUCCUGUAGGCAAAUCCGCAGGGAGAGUCGACCUUGAUAGUAUGCCGCGUGCUUGCACAAGGCAAAAUGGACGUAAUCAGGCUCCCAAGAAAAUCCGCUAAGCAUAUUCAUAAAGUACCCGUACCGUAAACGGACACACGUAGUUGGGUUGAAAAUACUGAGGCGCUCGAGUGAUUCACGGUUAAGGAACUAGGCAAAUUGACCCUGUAACUUCGGGAUAAAGGGUCCCUACUGAGAGGUAGGGCGCAGAGAAUAGGUCCAGGCAACUGUUUAACAAAAACACAUGGCUGUGCGAAAUAGAAAUAUGAAGUAUACAGCCUGACACCUGCCCGGUGCUGGAAGGUUAAGAGGAGAGCUCAUCGCAAGAGAAGGCUUGAAUUGAAGCCCCAGUAAACGGCGGCCGUAACUAUAACGGUCCUAAGGUAGCGAAAUUCCUUGUCGGGUAAGUUCCGACCUGCACGAAUGGUGUAAUGAUCUGGACACUGUCUCAACCGUGAGCUCAGUGAAAUUGU